UCCGCUCGGCGCUGCAGCCGCUCCUCACCCUACUUCCGCCUGCUCCGCCCUGAAAUACCGGAACUCACCCACGCCCGGAUGUGACGUCACCGCUGCCUCGCCCUCCCACCGCCAGGCAGGCGGGAUGGUCGGCCACUGGAGGGAGCCUCGCGGCGAGGAGCAAGGGGCGGUGCCUCCCAGUCGCCCUAGGCGACGCUCGCGGGCUUUCCCCUAGGCCAGUAAAGGGGGGCGGGGUUGGGAAGAAGGAAGGCUACCAUGGUAACCCGAAGGCGCACGGUCUAGCCUCACUGGUCAGGCAGGCUGCCUACGAUGGUUGGUCAACUGCUGUACUGCCCAUACCCCCCGCCACUGCUGACCCAGCACCACCUAUCCACUAGGGCAUCCUGUAGUUCUAUACUCUAAAUAUCCUGCAAGCCUCUGCUUCCACUCAUCCCACACUGGCUCCAAAACCAGAUGCUAAAAAAAACCUUAGACUUUUUGGGCCUCGACUUCAAAAGAGCCUCAACUCAGCAACCUCCUUUUAAACCCAGCUCAGGGAGGAAUCCUCUGCGAUGGGUCACCGUUACCAGAUCUGUUGUGCAACAGCAAAAUAUGAGUACCUGGAAAACUGUACUGGGGGACUGAGCCUCCAUUCUGUGCUAUAACCUUCACCAAUUUCACUGCAACUUCUGCUUCCAGGGAUCCUCCUUAAAGUCACCCUUGGAUGUCCAGAAGAGAAGAGUGACCUGUCUUACUGGCAGCUCCAGCCUGGGCUCCAAAGAAGAUUUAUGGUCUCCUCUGCCUGGCUGAUUGAAACUAAGACUUUGUAAGAUCAAAGGUAAGGGAGGAAACCCCCUCUGUCAGGAAGCAACCUGCAGUCUUUAGGACUCUCCUCUUCUGAGGCUUUGUACAACUCCUGGGUUAGGUGCUCUAAGGGUCUUCCAGCCUGCUUACUUUCUGGGAGAUCUUUCUUCUGAAGAGAAUCAGGUCUGUUGAAUGCCAUGUGGCACGCAGAUGCUUCUUUCUACUGUGACAGAGAGGAGCCCAAGUUAUAGCUGCACUGGGGGGCUUGGGUGGAGUCUGGGUGUGGGAGGAGGAUGCUCUGCUUUAGCCCCGAGGCCUGUUCCAUGUGUCCUUGUUCCCAUUAGUCUGAACACCCUCCUCCCUCCACACACAUACCAAUUCCACAGUGCCCUUGAUGUAGAUCAAUAGCUUGUCCCAAGCCCCAGUCAAUUCCUGUUGUGUGGCGCUUGCCUUCCAGGCGAAGACAACAAAUGGGUAUAUAAGCCCCAAGGUAGGCACCCAUGGUGUUGUCUAAUGUCCUUGCUCCUUUAUGGCUCUCAGUAGGGGGUUGUGUGUAAUUGUUACAUUCCUGACCUUCCUUUUUACCCUUGCUCCUUAAGUUGUAGUUCUCUUCUCUGGGAACCUUGAACCAUCCUGGAGAGCCAGAGGCUGAAGGGAGAGGCUGGGAAAAGGACUAGCAGGAGUUGAAAGGACUUCAGUGUUUGGGGCACUAGGGGAACUGAGGUAGACAGGAAUAUUGAUGUAGGAGAGUAACAGCUCUCUUAAAAGGAGACUCUGGAUGGCAUAACUAGGCAGAAACAUCAGAUGGCCUCUGAUGGAAGCUUCCUAGCUCUCCUGGGAGUUACCAUCUAUGCAGCUAUUUCAAACAAGAUUAAGCCAUUCUGAACCAGAGGAGCUGGGUGAGGCAGCAAUCACAGAGGGAAAAGGGACUGGAUGGGUAUGAUAGGGUGAACUACUCAGCUGAUGUGAUGAGAACAGACAGACUAGGUAGAGAGGAUCAGAGGCCAUGGGCUCUGUGGGGGGCCAGCCUGCCAAUACUGGAACCAGCCUGGCACUGACAAGCCCUGGGGAGAGAGGCCAAGGUCAGGGAUCACGGCAGAGGGGGUGGGGCAUUCUGUGGGUCCAAAUGAACAGAGGAGA